AAAGGCUAGUGAAAGAGGAUCAAGAUAAGAAUAGGAAUUAGUUUAGUAUGACAAAGAUUAGAUUGGUGGGGUAGGGGGGUGGUGGUGAGGAGGAGGGGCGAGAGGAAGAGGAGAGGAGACAGGGUCAGUGAUAUCUUUGAAAGGUAUGUAUUGCAGCAAGGGUUGGUAUCACAAGGACGUGCAUGAAUGCAAAGAACAUUUCAGUGCAACUUCCUAAUACUAAGACAAGUCAAUUGGAUGGUUAAAAUCUCAAAUUCUUUUUUUUAACAUUUAUAUUUACAUGAGACAAAAGUAAGCACUCUGGUGAUUUUUUUCGGAAAGAAUAUUGAAUUAUUGUCUAAAAUUAUGUGUGCUAUAACUUAUAAUGGUUGUUUUGGAAGAGGUUCAUUAGAUCAUAGAUAUUAAUAAUAUUUAAAUAUUAGCUAUUCUUUCUUUUUGUAACUAGCUACUCUUCCUUUAAAUAUUAGUCGGUGGCUUCCAUACCAAAUGAAUGAUUAUAAUAGUAAUUCAGUCUUAAAAAAAAAACUUUAAGUUAUUAUGUGAUGGACACAUGACACUACUCUUUAAGAUCAUAUUGAUAGAGACGAAUAUAGGAUCACCUUGGAUCAAUUUGCUGACUUC
rnacentral:lncRNA from 1 species